rnacentral:rRNA from 1 species
AGAGUUUGAUCCUGGCUCAGGAUGAACGCUGGCGGCGUGCCUAAUACAUGCAAGUCGAGCGAACGGACGAGAAGCUUGCUUCUCUGAUGUUAGCGGCGGACGGGUGAGUAACACGUGGAUAACCUACCUAUAAGACUGGGAUAACUUCGGGAAACCGGAGCUAAUACCGGAUAAUAUUUUGAACCGCAUGGUUCAAAAGUGAAAGACGGUCUUGCUGUCACUUAUAGAUGGAUCCGCGCUGCAUUAGCUAGUUGGUAAGGUAACGGCUUACCAAGGCAACGAUGCAUAGCCGACCUGAGAGGGUGAUCGGCCACACUGGAACUGAGACACGGUCCAGACUCCUACGGGAGGCAGCAGUAGGGAAUCUUCCGCAAUGGGCGAAAGCCUGACGGAGCAACGCCGCGUGAGUGAUGAAGGUCUUCGGAUCGUAAAACUCUGUUAUUAGGGAAGAACAUAUGUGUAAGUAACUGUGCACAUCUUGACGGUACCUAAUCAGAAAGCCACGGCUAACUACGUGCCAGCAGCCGCGGUAAUACGUAGGUGGCAAGCGUUAUCCGGAAUUAUUGGGCGUAAAGCGCGCGUAGGCGGUUUUUUAAGUCUGAUGUGAAAGCCCACGGCUCAACCGUGGAGGGGCAUUGGAAACUGGAAAACUUGAGUGCAGAAGAGGAAAGUGGAAUUCCAUGUGUAGCGGUGAAAUGCGCAGAGAUAUGGAGGAACACCAGUGGCGAAGGCGACUUUCUGGUCUGUAACUGACGCUGAUGUGCGAAAGCGUGGGGAUCAAACAGGAUUAGAUACCCUGGUAGUCCAUGCCGUAAACGAUGAGUGCUAAGUGUUAGGGGGUUUCCGCCCCUUAGUGCUGCAGCUAACGCAUUAAGCACUCCGCCUGGGGAGUACGACCGCAAGGUUGAAACUCAAAGGAAUUGACGGGGACCCGCACAAGCGGUGGAGCAUGUGGUUUAAUUCGAAGCAACGCGAAGAACCUUACCAAAUCUUGACAUCCUUUGACAACUCUAGAGAUAGAGCCUUCCCCUUCGGGGGACAAAGUGACAGGUGGUGCAUGGUUGUCGUCAGCUCGUGUCGUGAGAUGUUGGGUUAAGUCCCGCAACGAGCGCAACCCUUAAGCUUAGUUGCCAUCAUUAAGUUGGGCACUCUAAGUUGACUGCCGGUGACAAACCGGAGGAAGGUGGGGAUGACGUCAAAUCAUCAUGCCCCUUAUGAUUUGGGCUACACACGUGCUACAAUGGACAAUACAAAGGGCAGCGAAACCGCGAGGUCAAGCAAAUCCCAUAAAGUUGUUCUCAGUUCGGAUUGUAGUCUGCAACUCGACUACAUGAAGCUGGAAUCGCUAGUAAUCGUAGAUCAGCAUGCUACGGUGAAUACGUUCCCGGGUCUUGUACACACCGCCCGUCACACCACGAGAGUUUGUAACACCCGAAGCCGGUGGAGUAACCUUUUAGGAGCUAGCCGUCGAAGGUGGGACAAAUGAUUGGGGUGAAGUCGUAACAAGGUAGCCGUAUCGGAAGGUGCGGCUGGAUCACCU